rnacentral:lncRNA from 12 species
GUUGUUUCUGGUGAGAUUGUGUGUUAAUUAGGCUAUUUCUUGUUAGAUUAGCAUAUAUAAUAAUUAAUACAAAAGGUUAUUGAAGUAUUCGUAAAAUAUCUAUAAAUUAGGCUAUCUAUUGCAUGCAUAAACAAAAUAAAAAGAGUCUUCCGCCCGAAUAUUGUCAGUAUCGUCAUGAUUUAAAAAAAAAAAAUUUUUAGUUCCAGCUGUAAUAAAUAGGUAAAUAUUUCUUUUUUAAAUAACUUUUUUUUACGCUUGAAUAUUAAUAAAACUGAACUACAGACGAAUAUUUUUUUUUGACGUUUAGAAUCCUCGUGUAGCUUCACGCUAUAGACACAAGAAUCAUAAGUAGUAGGUUUGUUUUACAUUACCAAAUCAAAUAAGCUCAAUUCUUGAAUUAUAAAUCAAAUCUUAAGUAAAUGCCAAUGAAUUCUGCGUUGAGUGCUCGUGGUCGUAUUAAUUCAGGAUGAAACACAAACUGAAAAGAAAAAAGAAAAAAUCUAUUGGUGUUCAUUCAGAUGACACCUGGCAAAGUUUGAAAACAUGACUGGACAAGUGCGCGGCUCUGAAAGCAUUAAUCAGGCGAUGCAUCUGGCGGCUUAAGGAUAGGACAAGACGCGCUAAGGCAGAAAUGGCCCUUUUUCCCCGUGACCCAGCGGGACCCUUGGCAUGCCGUUUAACAUUAGUUAAGCAAUUAAAACGUUUAAAUGCAAAUGGUGAAAGCCCUGGUCGCGGCAUAAAGUGCAUUAUAUUCUGUAUUUGUUAUAAUCCACAUGAUGCAUGCCUUAUAUGAUGUCAAAAUGGCACGACAAAAACACAGUUAUGGCCUUAAGGGAUAACAAAUCAACAAGUGGCUGAGCGCGAGAUGGCUCCAAGAAGUUCUGCAAGGAGGAACAAUACAGACAACAAAUCUGUCUGGGAGUGUCUGACCUACUGGCAGUCACAUGUCUUGACAAUGUGGAUGUUUCCAGCUUUAACACUCUUGAAAAGCCUGGACUGCUUCACAGGGCCCAGCGGUCGCCCCAACAGGCACAGAUUACGCCCAGGUUGUCCUAAAGGAAGUGUCUGUGGAUGUAUCCUCUCCGAAAUGUAAGUCAAUAAACAUUCUUAAUCAAAUGAAAGAAGCUGAGUUAGUAAUAAUUUACAUAUGUUAAUUUACAUAUUUAUAAUACAUUUACAG